CCAGGUGUACUCUCACCUGAGUCUAAGUGAACAUGCCAGACGGGUAACUGUCUGGUAUGAAGCUUCACUGACAACAUUUUUAACGGG
rfam:Diplodia seriata DS_831_scaffold_v01_13, whole genome shotgun sequence.